AAAUGGGAGGUAUAUUUCUUCUAAAGCUAAAUACUGGCCAGAGACCGAUAGCGCACAAGUAGAGUGAUCGAAAGAUGAAAAGCACUUUGGAAAGAGAGUCAAACAGCACGUGAAAUUGUUGAAAGGGAAGCGCUUGCCACCAGACUUGUUGGCCGUCGUUCAUCCCGGGGUCUCCCCGGGUGCACUCGGCGGCGGACAGGCCAGCAUCAGUGGGGGCGGCCGGACAAAGGCGCGGGGAAUGUGGCUCCCUCUGGGGAGUGUUAUAGCCCUGCGCGUCCUACGGCCAGCCCCGACUGAGGUCCGCGCUUCGGCUAGGAUGCUGGCGUAAUGGUUGCAAGCGGCCCGUCUUGAAACACGGACCAAGGAGUCUAACAUCUAUGCGAGUGUUUGGGUGUCAAGCCCGGGCGCGGAAUGAAAGUGAACGGAGGUGGGAACCCCUUGCGGGGCGCACCAUCGACCGAUCCUGAUGUCUUCGGAUGGAUUUGAGUAAGAGCAUAGCUGUUGGGACCCGAAAGAUGGUGAACUAUGCCUGAAUAGGGUGAAGCCAGAGGAAACUCUGGUGGAGGCUCGCAGCGGUUCUGACGUGCAAAUCGAUCGUCAAAUUUGGGCAUAGGGGCGAAAGACUAAUCGAACUAUCUAGUAGCUGGUUCCUGCCGAAGUUUCCCUCAGGAUAGCAGUAACGUAUUCAGUUUUAUGAGGUAAAGCGAAUGAUUAGAGGCCUGGGGGCUGAAACAGCCUUCACCUAUUCUCAAACUUUAAAUAUGUAAGAAGUCCUUGUUGCUUUGUUGAACG
rnacentral:rRNA from 1 species